CUUCCAUUUUAACCGUGUAAGUCUGUUCUUAUAUACUGUAAUGUGGUUUAUUAAACUGAUUAUUAUUAUUAUUACAUAUAUUUGCAUAUAUUGAGAGUGCUGGCUGCAAAUCGCAUUUGAAGGUAGCUAAGUUCUGCACGUUUUCGACAGCUAAGUAUUCAUGCUUCAACUUUGAUGCACAAUUUGUCUUCUUUGAAUAUAGCUAACACCUCAAAAUACGACUUGCAGUUUGCGAUCUGCCGUACACGUCAAUCUUAAUUAAGAUCUCCAUUUUGUGUUUGUCAGCGAGUUUGGUUGAGCCUAGAAUUUUGCGCCAUCUAAUAUGUUGGCAAUUUCUCAACUUGCGUCUUUCUGUCGCUCUGGAUGUUUUGGGAACGUAGAAGAAAAAUUGUACGGUUUUUGUAAAAAAAAAAAAAAUUUGCAUCAAUAGACCUGACAAGUGCUCAAGACAUGUUUGAUAAACAUGUCUGAAAGGCCGUUCAAGAACGGGCUAAAAUAAGUCUGAGAAAGAAGAAGAAACCCAAACCACAG